rnacentral:sRNA from 1 species
AUGGCUGUCGUCAGCUCGUGUCGUGAGAUGUUGGGUUAAGUCCCGCAACGAGCGCAACCCACGUCUUUAGUUGCCAGCAUUUAGUUGGGCACUCUAGAGAGACCGCCGGUGAUAAACCGGAGGAAGGUGUGGAUGACGUCAAGUCAUCAUGCCCCUUACAUCCUGGGCUACACACGUACUACAAUGCUACGGACAAAGGGCAGCAAGUUCGCGAGGACAAGCAAAUCCCAUAAACCGUGGCUCAGUUCAGAUCGUAGGCUGCAACUCGCCUACGUGAAGGAGGAAUCGCUAGUAAUCGCAGGUCAGCAUACUGCGGUGAAUACGUUCCCGGGCCUUGUACACACCGCCCGUCACACCAUGGAAGUUGGCCACGCCCGAAGCCGUUACUCCAACCCUUGUGGAGGAGGACGUCGAAGGUGGGGCUGAUGACUGGGGUGAAGUCGUAACAAGGUAUCCGUACCGGAAGGUGCGGAUGGAUCACCUCCUAACAGGGAGACAAAACAAUGAUUUUGAUGUCUGAGUAUUUCAUUCUUAGGCCGAAAUCCUGUCACCUUAGGUCGAUCGGUACCUCAACAUUUUUCCAAAGAUUGGUGAGCAAUCAUCAAGAGAUUGGAAGGGAUGUUCAGUUCCUAAACUUUGUCUAGGUCACACCCCGCAAGGGAAGAGUCCCCUGGGCCAUUAGCUCAGGUGGUUAGAGCGCACCCCUGAUAAGGGUGAGGUCCCUGGUUCAAGUCCAGGAUGGCCCAUUCGGUGUUGGGGGUUUAGCUCAGUUGGUAGAGCGCCUGCUUUGCAAGCAGGGGGUCAUCGGUUCGAUCCCGAUACGCUCCACCAUUUAAACGUUAAAUGGAUCACCAAGUACACAUUAGUGUUUUUGGUCGUCCAUUUGGACGAAUUGAAAUCGUAUAGAGAGAAAAAACAUCAGUUUUGUUUAUUGCGUAGCCGAGUGUGGUUACGCGGGCUUUUAUUAGCAAAAAUAAACAGAAUUAAUCCAAGUCAAGUAAACUAACCAAAACUAUAAGUUCUUACACUUGAACCAGCGUAAGAACUUGGGAAAAUUUACUCUUUUGUUCUAGAUAAAGCCUAGCUUUUUCUGGAUCAAAUCAAGCGCGAAAAGGGCGUUUGGUGGAUGCCUUGGCAGUAAGAGGCGAUGAAGGACGUGAUACUCUGCGAUAAGUCGUGGUGAGCCGAGAAUAGGCUUUGACCCGCGAAUCUCCGAAUGGGGAAACCCGA